rnacentral:rRNA from 1 species
AGUGAACGCUGGCGGUAGGCCUAACACAUGUAAGUCGAACGGCAGCACAGGAGAGCUUGCUCUCUGGGUGGCGAGUGGCGGACGGGUGAGGAAUACAUCGGAAUCUACUCUGUCGUGGGGGAUAACGUAGGGAAACUUACGCUAAUACCGCAUACGACCUACGGGUGGAAGCAGGGGACCUUCGGGCCUUGCGCGAUUGAAUGAGCCGGUGUCGGAUUAGCUAGUUGGCGGGGUAAAGGCCCACCAAGGCGACGAUCCGUAGCUGGUCUGAGAGGAUGAUCAGCCACACUGGAACUGAGACACGGUCCAGACUUCUACGGGAGGCAGCAGUGGGGAAUAUUGGACAAUGGGCGCAAGCCUGAUCCAGCCAUACCGCGUGGGUGAAGAAGGCCUUCGGGUUGUAAAGCCCUUUUGUUGGGAAAGAAAUCCAGCUGGCUAAUACCCGGUUGGGAUGACGGUACCCAAAGAAUAAGCACCGGCUAACUUCGUGCCAGCAGCCGCAGUAA